GUCAGCGAAAAAACUAUGUGAAUUAAGUUUUUAUCCUACAUUGAACUUUUGAUGUCGCCCCUAAAGGAUAAAGAGAUAAUAUUGUGUUAUUAUUAAUCUUCGGUUACACCAUUGGAUAAGGAUUUAUGCAUAUCGGGUGCAACAAUUAACAAUGGAAGGUACAAUAAAAAAGAAAUCCAGUCGUAAACAACUUUACAGUAGAAUGAUUUGAAGUUGACCUAUAUAUCUUAGGUGUCUAUAUGCUGAUAUACUGCAGUAUACUUGUACAUGUUAAUUUACAUAUUAAUU
rnacentral:lncRNA from 1 species